GUGCUCACUUCAGCAGCACAUAUGCUAAAAUUGGAAAGAUUCAGAGAAGGUUAGCAUGGCCCCUGCACAAGGAUGACACACAAUUUCAUGAAGCAUUUCAUAUAUAG
ensembl:snRNA U6 U6 spliceosomal RNA